AUCAACUUUCGAUGGUAGGAUAGAGGCCUACCAUGGUGGUAACGGGUAACGGGGUGUUAGGGCACGACACCGGAGAGGGAGCCUGAGAAACGGCUACCACAUCCAAGGAUGGCAGCAGGCGCGCAAAUUACCCAAUCCCGACACGGGGAGGUAGUGACAAUAAAUAACAAUACGGGGUCCUUUGGGUCUCGUAAUUGGAAUGAGUACAAUUUAAAUCUCUUAACGAGGAACAAUUGGAGGGCAAGUCUGGUGCCAGCAGCCGCGGUAAUUCCAGCUCCAAUAGCGUAUAUUAAAGUUGUUGCAGUUAAAAAGCUCGUAGUUGAAUUUCGGGAUUAGUAGGUUGGUCGUGCCUCUGGUAUGUACUCGCCUUACUGGUUCCUCCUUCUUGAAGAACUGUAAUGCCAUUAAUUUGGUGUUGCAGGGAAACAGGACUGUUACUUUGAGAAAAUUAGAGUGUUUAAAGCAGGCCAUUGCCUGAAUACAUUAGCAUGGAAUAAUGAAAUAGGACGUUGAUCCUAUUUUGUUGGUUUCUAGGAUUGACGUAAUGAUUAAUAGGGAUAGUUGGGGGCAUUAGUAUUCAAUUGUCAGAGGUGAGAUUCUUGGAUUUAUUGAAGACUAACUACUGCGAAAGCAUUUGCCAAGGAUGUUUUCAUUAAUCAAGAACGAAAGUUAGGGGAUCGAAGACGAUCAGAUACCGUCGUAGUCUUAACCAUAAACUAUGCCGACUAGGGAUCGGAUGAUGUUAAUUUUUUAAUGACUCAUUCGGCGCCUUACGGGAAACCAAAGUGUUUGGGUUC
rnacentral:rRNA from 1 species